GAUGAACGCUGGCGGCGUGCCUAAUACAUGCAAGUCGAGCGAACGGACGAGAAGCUUGCUUCUCUGAUGUUAGCGGCGGACGGGUGAGUAACACGUGGAUAACCUACCUAUAAGACUGGGAUAACUUCGGGAAACCGUAGCUAAUACCGGAUAAUAUUUUGAACCGCAUGGUUCAAAAGUGAAAGACGGUCUUGCUGUCACUUAUAGAUGGAUCCGCGCUGCAUUAGCUAGUUGGUAAGGUAACGGCUUACCAAGGCAACGAUGCAUAGCCGACCUGAGAGAGAGGACGGCAAAACUGGGGAAGAGGCACGGAAGGGAAUACGCAGGGAGGAAGAAGGAGGGAAUAGUAAGCAAUGGGGGAAGGACUAACAGAGAAAUGAUGAGUGAAUGAGGAAGGUAUAAGGAACGGAAAACAAGUUUAGGAGGGAAAAACAGAAGUGUAAGGAAAAGGGCACAUAAAGAGGUGAAAUAAUCAGAAAGCAACGGAUAAAUCAGAG
rnacentral:rRNA from 1 species